rnacentral:rRNA from 1 species
CGGAUAACGGGGAGGAAGGUGGGGAUGACGUCAAGUCCUCAUGGCCUUUAUGUCCAGGGCUACACACGUGCUACAAUGGCCGGUACAAACCGUUGCAAACCCGCGAGGGGGAGCUAAUCGGAAAAAGCCGGCCUCAGUUCGGAUUAGAGUCUGCAACUCGACUCUAUGAAGCUGGAAUCGCUAGUAAUCGCGGAUCAGAACGCCGCGGUGAAUACGUUCCCGGGCCUUGUACACACCGCCCGUCACAUCACGAAAGUGGGUUGCACUAGAAGUCGGUGGGCCAACCGCAAGGGGGCAGCCGCCCAAGGUGUAAUUCAUGAUUGGGGUGAAGUCGUAACAAGGUAGCCGUAGGAGAACCUGCGGCUGGAUCACCUCCUUU